rnacentral:rRNA from 1 species
ACUCAAAGGAAUUGACGGGGGCCCGCACAAGCGGUGGAGCAUGUGGUUUAAUUCGAUGCAACGCGAAGAACCUUACCUACCCUUGACAUCCUAGGAAGGUCUCAGAGAUGAGAUUGUGCCGAAAGGAGCCUAGAGACAGGUGCUGCAUGGCUGUCGUCAGCUCGUGUCGUGAGAUGUUGGGUUAAGUCCCGUAACGAGCGCAACCCUUAUCCUUAGUUGCCAGCACGUAAAGGUGGGAACUCUAAGGAGACUGCCGGUGAUAAACCGGAGGAAGGUGGGGAUGAGGUCAAGUCAUCAUGGCCUUUAUGGGUAGGGCCACACACGUGCUACAAUGGGCAGUACAAAGGGAUGCAAACCUGCGAGGGGGAGCGGAUCUCGGAAAGCUGCUCGUAGUCCGGAUUGGAGUCUGCAACUCGACUCCAUGAAGUUGGAAUCGCUAGUAAUCGCGGAUCAGAACGCCGCGGUGAAUACGUUCCCGGGCCUUGCACACACCGCCCGU